ensembl:misc_RNA Y_RNA Y RNA
GGCUGGUCCCAAGGUAGUGAAUUGUCUCAAUUGGUUAUUCACAGUUGGUUUCCCUUUGUGCACUCUUUCCCCACUUCCACUUGACUAGUCUUUU